rnacentral:rRNA from 1 species
AUUGAACGCUGGCGGCAGGCCUAACACAUGCAAGUCGAGCGGAUGAAGGUAGCUUGCUACCGGAUUCAGCGGCGGACGGGUGAGUAAUGCCUAGGAAUCUGCCCGAUAGUGGGGGAUAACGUUCCGAAAGGAACGCUAAUACCGCAUACGUCCUACGGGAGAAAGCGGGGGAUCUUCGGACCUCGCGCUAUCGGAUGAGCCUAGGUCGGAUUAGCUAGUUGGUGAGGUAAUGGCUCACCAAGGCGACGAUCCGUAGCUGGUCUGAGAGGAUGAUCAGCCACACUGGGACUGAGACACGGCCCAGACUCCUACGGGAGGCUG